GUCCUUAGCUGACUGGCUGGACUUUCCUAGUAGUGUGUUGAUGGUGCUAGUCAAGAAUAUUCUGUGGUCUCCAGGCCUGUUUUUUUUUGUGAUAUGCAUUCUUCUAACUGUAUUUGGUCUGAAAAAGUGUGGUAAAAUCCGAACGCUAAUAUUGCAGCCCUUUGACCUCAAAUGUGUACAGCUGAAAAUUCAGAUCCCAU